rnacentral:rRNA from 1 species
UACGUAGGGUGCGAGCGUUAAUCGGAAUUACUGGGCGUAAAGCGUGCGCAGGCGGUUUGUUAAGUCUGAUGUGAAAGCCCCGGGCUCAACCUGGGAAUGGCAUUGGAAACUGGCAAGCUUGAGUAUGGCAGAGGGGGGUGGAAUUCCGCGUGUAGCAGUGAAAUGCGUAGAGAUGCGGAGGAACACCGAUGGCGAAGGCAGCCCCCUGGGCCAAUACUGACGCUCAGGCACGAAAGCGUGGGGAGCAAACAGG